ACAGAAGCUACCACCACCUUCACGACCACACCACUUACAACCACUGAAACCACUGUACCAUCUACAAGUACAGCGGGAACUACAACAGCUUUAAGCACCACAUCAGUUCCCACAUCAACGACAAUAGAAACAACAACAGGCAGCACAAGUGCAUCUACAACAGAAGCUACCACCACCUUCACGACCACACCACUUACAACCACUGAAACCACUGUACCAUCUACAAGUACAGCGGGAACUACAACAGCUUUAAGCACCACAUCAGUUCCCACACCAACGACAAUAGAAACAACAACAGGCAGC